rnacentral:rRNA from 1 species
UACAGAGGUCUCAAGCGUUGUUCGGAUUCAUUGGGCGUAAAGGGUGCGUAGGUGGCGCCAUAAGUCAGGUGUGAAAUCUCGGGGCUCAACCCCGAAACUGCACUUGAUACUGUGGUGCUCGAGUACUGGAGAGGAGAUUGGAAUUUACGGUGUAGCAGUGAAAUGCGUAGAUAUCGAUAAGGAAGACCAGUGGCGAAGGCGAAUCUCUGGACAGUUACUGACACUGAGGCACGAAGGCCAGGGGAGCAAACGGG